GAUGAAGAACGUAGCGAAAUGCGAUAAGUAGUGUGAAUUGCAGAAUUCAGUGAAUCAUCGAAUCUUUGAACGCACAUUGCGCCUCCUGGUAUUCCGGGAGGCAUGCCUGUUCGAGCGUCAUUAAAAUCACUCAAGCUUAGGUUUACCUAUUGCUUGGUCUUGGAGAUGGAAGCCAAUUCAUUGGAAUCCUCUUCGAAAUCCAAUGGCGAAGACCCUUGCUCUCCCAAGUGUAGUAAUAACUUAUGUCACUGAAGGAAGCGAGAAAUCUGCCGCCGUAACCCCCAUAUUUUCUAUGAUUGACCUCGGAUCAGGUAGGGAUACCCGCUGAACUUAAGCAUAUCAAUAAGCGGAGGA
rnacentral:misc_RNA from 1 species